UGAGCAAUCUGCCCUUCUCAUCGGAAUAAGCGUUGGAAACGACGUCUAAUGCCGAAUACGACCUCCUUUCGCAUGAUCGGAGGUGGAAAGCUCCGGCGGAGAAGGAUGAGCCCGCGGCCUAUCAGCUAGUUGGUGUGGGUAAUGGCCCACCAAGGCGACGACGGGUAGCCGGCCUGAGAGGGUGACCGGCCACACUGGGACUGAGACACGGCCCAGACUCCGUACGGGAGGNAGCG
rnacentral:rRNA from 1 species